UGCAUUUAACAUUAGUUAUGUUUACAUACAUUGUCAUGAGUAUUUUGUGGUGUGUACUAUAAUGUGUGGUUUGAAAACACAAAUGUACUUUUUACUUGUUUGAAAUCCUAAAAACUGAAGAACACUUGUUAGGUUUGAGUGCACUUUCGUUUUCAUCAAAGUGUGGUUUUGCAAUGUCAAAAAAACAAAAAGUCCUGCAUACCACAAUACAGUAUGCCAAGUCUUGUCAUGAUUACACAGGCCUAUUUUAACCAGUAGAGCAGCAUGACUCCGCGCAGGCAGACAAAGCCUGUCGAUUUCGUGCUUGACCUGGCUGAACUCGUUGGCCAUCUUGCAGUGGUUUUUGUACACUUCUAUGGACUCCUUUAGAGACCGACACGGCAGCACCGGCUAGGGGAAGAAAGCCACGGAACUUCUUCUUUCGCGAUGACUCAAACCACAGUCCUACAGAAUAUCAUCCACACGACAAAACACUUCAACUUCUCCCAGUUUUUCCCCUAAUGUGUGUGUGGGUGUGUGUGUGUGUGUGUGUGUGUGUGUGUGUGUGCGUGCGUGUUAAGUCCAACCUAUUCGGAUAUUUCAGCAUUUCAGAGAGGGACAAUUUUAUGGGGAAUUAUUUCGUUUUUAUUUAAUGUUGUUCAUGCAACAUGUUGUUCGUGUAAAUGAAGUGCAUGCUAAAAGCACAAAUAUAAAUAAAAACUAAUAACUAAUAAUUUCAUAAACGGCUUUAUAGGUUGCUAAGAAUGUAUAGAGAUGGAUAAAGACGCGAAGAGAAAUAUGGAAGUUUACUCCCUUCAGCCUUUUCCCUAAAAAAACAGUCUGAGGGAGUAUUUGAUAAUAAAACAUGUCAGUAAAUUACUAGUUAUGAGGAAACUGUAUAAAAAAAAUACUAAUCUAGUUAUGUUGACAACGAUCAAAAACCAAUUCUUCAUGUCAGCAUGAUACAGCAUUCACUCUCUAUUUAAUUGUGCAAUGUAGUUUUUUUUGUUGUUUGUUUGUUUUUUUGAGUAAAACAUUGGUAAAAA